rnacentral:rRNA from 2 species
AAUCCAUAGGUUAAUGAGGCGAACCGGGGGAACUGAAACAUCUAAGUACCCCGAGGAAAAGAAAUCAACCGAGAUUCCCCCAGUAGCGGCGAGCGAACGGGGAGGAGCCCAGAGCCUGAAUCAGCAUGUGUGUUAGUGGAAGCGUCUGGAAAGGCGCGCGAUACAGGGUGACAGCCCCGUACACAAAAGCGCAUGUGCUGUGAGCUCGAUGAGUAGGGCGGGACACGUGGUAUCCUGUCUGAAUAUGGGGGGACCAUCCUCCAAGGCUAAAUACUCCUGACUGACCGAUAGUGAACCAGUACCGUGAGGGAAAGGCGAAAAGAACCCCGGCGAGGGGAGUGAAAAAGAACCUGAAACCGUGUACGUACAAGCAGUGGGAGCACAGGUUUACCUGUGUGACUGCGUACCUUUUGUAUAAUGGGUCAGCGACUUAUAUUCUGUAGCAAGGUUAACCGAAUAGGGGAGCCGGAGGGAAACCGAGUCUUAACCGGGCGUUAAGUUGCAGGGUAUAGACCCGAAACCCGGUGAUCUAGCCAUGGGCAGGUUGAAGGUUGGGUAACACUAACUGGAGGACCGAACCGACUAAUGUUGAAAAAUUAGCGGAUGACCUGUGGCUGGGGGUGAAAGGCCAAUCAAACCGGGAGAUAGCUGGUUCUCCCCGAAAGCUAUUUAGGUAGCGCCUCGUGAA